rnacentral:rRNA from 1 species
GAGUUUGAUCCUGGCUCAGGAUGAACGCUAGCGGCAGGCCUAAUACAUGCAAGUCGAGGGGCAUCGGGAGUAGCAAUACUUGCCGGCGACCGGCGCACGGGUGCGUAACACGUAUGCAAUCUACCUGUAACUGGGGGAUAGCCCGAAGAAAUUCGGAUUAAUACCCCAUAACAUAAUGAAGUGGCAUCACUUUAUUAUUAAAGAAUUUCGGUUACAGAUGAGCAUGCGUCCGAUUAGCUAGUUGGUGAGGUAACGGCUCACCAAGGCGACGAUCGGUAGGGGUACUGAGAGGUUACACCCCCACACUGGUACUGAGACACGGACCAGACUCCUACGGGAGGCAGCAGUAAGGAAUAUUGGACAAUGGUCGCAAGACUGAUCCAGCCAUGCCGCGUGCAGGAUGAAUGCCCUAUGGGUUGUAAACUGCUUUUAUACGGGAAUAAACCCCUCUACGUGUAGAGGGCUGAAUGUACCGUAAGAAUAAGGGUCGGCUAACUUCGUGCCAGCAGCCGCGGUAAUACGAAGGACCCAAGCGUUAUCCGGAUUCAUUGGGUUUAAAGGGUGCGUAGGCGGAUUGAUAAGUCAGUGGUGAAAGCCUGCAGCUUAACUGCAGAAGUGCCAUUGAUACUGUCGAUCUUGAAUAUGUUUGAUGUGGGCGGAAUAUGACAUGUAGCGGUGAAAUGCUUAGAUAUGUCAUAGAACACCGAUUGCGAAGGCAGCUCACAAAGCCAUUAUUGACGCUGAGGCACGAAAGUGUGGGGAUCAAACAGGAUUAGAUACCCUGGUAGUCCACACUGUAAACGUUGAUCACUCGCUGUUGGCGAUACACUGUCAGCGGCUAAGCGAAAGCGUUAAGUGAUCCACCUGGGGAGUACGACCGCAAGGUUG